rnacentral:rRNA from 1 species
GAUGAACGCUGGCGGCGUGCCUAAUACAUGCAAGUCGAGCGAACAGACGAGGAGCUUGCUCCUCUGACGUUAGCGGCGGACGGGUGAGUAACACGUGGAUAACCUACCUAUAAGACUGGGAUAACUUCGGGAAACCGGAGCUAAUACCGGAUAAUAUAUUGAACCGCAUGGUUCAAUAGUGAAAGACGGUUUUGCUGUCACUUAUAGAUGGAUCCGCGCCGCAUUAGCUAGUUGGUAAGGUAACGGCUUACCAAGGCAACGAUGCGUAGCCGACCUGAGAGGGUGAUCGGCCACACUGGAACUGAGACACGGGCCAGACUCCUACGGGAGGCAGCAGUAGGGAAUCUUCCGCAAUGGGCGAAAGCCUGACGGAGCAACGCCGCGGGAGUGAUGAAGGUCUUCGGAUCGUAAAACUCUGUUAUUAGGGAAGAACAAAUGUGUAAGUAACUAUGCACGUCUGGACGGUACCUAAUCAGAAAGCCACGGCUAACUACGU